rnacentral:rRNA from 1 species
GACGAACGCUGGCGGCGUGCUUAACACAUGCAAGUCGAACGGAAAGACGCGGCGUUUGUGGGGUGCUCGAGUGGCGAAGGGGUGAGUGACACGUGAGUAUCCUGCCCUUGACUGUGGGAGAACUUCAGGAAACUGGGGCGAAAACAGGAGAGGAUCUCCUGAUGCGUGGGGGGGGAUGGAAAGAGUCGGCGGUGGGGGAUGGACUGGAGGCUUAUCAGCUGGAUGGGGUGGUAGUGGUUGACCAAGGGUUUGACGGGUAGCCGACCUGGGAGGGUGAACGGCGUCCAUGGGCCUGCGAUACGGCGCAGUCUCCUAUGGGACGCAGCAGGGGGGAACAUUGCACAAUGGGCCGAAGCGUGUUGCGGCAACCCCGCGUGCGGGAUGACGUCUUUCGGGUGGUAAACCGCUUUCGCCUGUGACGAAGCGUGAGUGACGGUAAUGGGUCAAGAAGCACCGGCUAACUACGUG